CCUUUCGGGGGUACACGAGUGGCGAACGGGUGAGUAACACGUGGGUAAUCUGCCCUGCACUUCGGGAUAAGCCUGGGAAACCGGGUCUAAUACCGGAUAUGAGCUCCUGCCGCAUGGUGGGGGUUGGAAAGUUUUUCGGUGCAGGAUGAGUCCGCGGCCUAUCAGCUUGUUGGUGGGGUAAUGGCCUACCAAGGCGACGACGGGUAGCCGGCCUGAGAGGGUGAUCGGCCACACUGGGACUGAGACACGGCCCAGACUCCUACGGGAGGCAGCAGUGGGGAAUAUUGCACAAUGGGCGAAAGCCUGAUGCAGCGACGCCGCGUGGGGGAUGACGGUCUUCGGAUUGUAAACUCCUUUCAGUAGGGACGAAGCGAAAGUGACGGUACCUGCAGAAGAAGCACCGGCCAACUACGUGCCAGCAGCCGCGGUAAUACGUAGGGUGCAAGCGUUGUCCGGAAUUACUGGGCGUAAAGAGCUCGUAGGCGGUUUGUCACGUCGUCUGUGAAAUCCUCCAGCUCAACUGGGGGCGUGCAGGCGAUACGGGCAGACUUGAGUACUACAGGGGAGACUGGAAUUCCUGGUGUAGCGGUGAAAUGCGCAGAUAUCAGGAGGAACACCGGUGGCGAAGGCGGGUCUCUGGGUAGUAACUGACGCUGAGGAGCGAAAGCAUGGGGAGCAAACAGGAUUAGAUACCCUGGUAGUCCAUGCCGUAAACGGUGGGCGCUAGGUGUGGGGUCCUU
rnacentral:rRNA from 1 species